AGGGGAGCCUGGGUGUUUCAGGAUGUGUAUGUGGGUUCGGGGCGGGGGGGGGGGGCGACAGAAUGCGUACUUCAGCGCCCCCACAACUGAGGAAGGUGGCCGGUGGGGACGCUUCCAGCUGGGCCUGCAGCGCUGCGUCCCCCAGAGAGCCCCUCCCACUAGUGUAAAACGGAAUCCAGUCCGGCCACGGGAGCCGGGUUCCGCUUCCCGCGGCCGGCCGGGCCGAACCGGGUCGGACUCGCCGCCUCCGCCCCAACCCCCACGCAGGGGGCCUCCCUCCCUUUCCAGCAGGUGGCUCCGCGGGGCACCAGCUCAACCUGUUGGACCACAAUGGGCGGCGCCAGGGGGGCCCUGGCCCUCACCCGGGCUGACCCGGGAUCCCCGCGCAGGGGGAGGGGCGGAGUCCGGGUCCCGCCCUCCCUCCUCUCCGGCCGUGACUCAGCCUCGGGGCCGCUGCCCUGCGCCCCAGCCAGGGGCGGAAAGUGUGAGGCGCCCCUGAGGGCCCAGGCCAAACCAAACAGCCCCCCACCUCAGACAUUAUCUCACUGGAGAAUUAGGGGGGCUGUAGGAAGGAGGGGGUGGCAGCAGGCUUGGGGCGCUCCCGCUCGCUCGAUCCGCUCCGGGUUUUCCUAUCCGCCCCGUCCCCCUUGGGCCCCGAGGCGGGUCACUGCUCCGGGUUUUCUUCUCGGCCCCGCCGGACAGAUUCUAGUCGGCCUGAAGGUCGCCAAGCUACCCGGAUAAAGACUACCUUGAGCGGGAAUACUAUGGAGAACCACGCUGCCGCAGGAAAGAGGGAGCAGGCUCCGUGUGUGCCCCUGCGGAGUCCCUGCCUCGUCGGAGGGGAAAAACCAGGGGGCAGCGCCGUGUGGAGACCAUGUUAGCAACUCCGAGAAUUCCUCCGGGCUCAGGGUGCCCGGCUGGCUCCGUCCGCAGAGUGCGUGAUUCUCAGUCUCGGGGUUGUGAGUUCGAGCCCCGUGUUGGGGCCAGAUAUUACUGAAAAAUAGAAAAACU